ACCUGGCAUACAAUGUAGAUAUC
rnacentral:miRNA from 1 species